rnacentral:lncRNA from 1 species
CACAACCUACGAUUGUUGACCCUUUAGAAUUCUUACGCAAUUAGGACUCUAACUCAACCAUAUAUUUGACUCCUGCAAGGUUCUAUCCCACAUAUAAUUAUGGAAUUUGACCAACUCCUUAACUAUUUAGGACUCCAACAGAUAAGGACAUCCAGCUAGUUGAGUCCCACUAGGAGAAUGUCGCUUACUACUAUAAAUACAGAACCUUGAGCCAUUAUUCAGGUACGUUUUUCAUUAUUUUCCAGCAUAUAGUCUC